AUCGCCCCUAGAGUUGCUCGAGGGCAGCCAUCUUCUCAGCAUUGGAGGCCGCCACUCUGUCCAUCUAUGACUGAAGAAAGUCAGCAAUCUUCUGAUAAUCGAUCUUCAGGUCAUGCAUGUUAUGUGCCCACUAAAAAUAAAAGACGAAUCAAGUCAGAUCAGAUCAGAUAAUAUAUAUAUAUAUAUGUUGAAGAACUUAUCCUGAGUAUCAUCAGGUAGAAAGAAACGAACAUUUCGGCUACAGGUUG
rnacentral:lncRNA from 1 species